CCUACGGGUGGCAGCAGUGAGGAAUAUUGGUCAAUGGACGCAAGUCUGAACCAGCCAUGCCGCGUGCAGGAAGACGGCUCUAUGAGUUGUAAACUGCUUUUGUACGAGGGUAAACUCAGAUACGUGUAUCUUUCUGAAAGUAUCGUACGAAUAAGGAUCGGCUAACUCCGUGCCAGCAGCCGCGGUAAUACGGAGGAUUCAAGCGUUAUCCGGAUUUAUUGGGUUUAAAGGGUGCGUAGGCGGUCGGAUAAGUUAGAGGUGAAAUCCCGAGGCUCAACUUCGGAAUUGCCUCUGAUACUGUUCGGCUAGAGAGUAGUUGCGGUAGGCGGAAUGUAUGGUGUAGCGGUGAAAUGCUUAGAGAUCAUACAGAACACCGAUUGCGAAGGCAGCUUACCAAGCUACUUCUGACGUUGAGGCACGAAAGCGUGGGGAGCAAACAGGAUUAGAUACCCCUGUAGUC
rnacentral:rRNA from 1 species